GUUUUUUCGAAGCAGCGGUUGACCAACAACAAGCAUAGCGAGAAGAGAGUGAAGAAGGAAAAUCAAUUAUAAAGUUUCUUGCCAAGACAAGGGUAUUUUCAAAAAAAAGGAUAAGAAAGGAGGAGUGGAAGUAGAGUGCGUAAGUGACUAGUGGAAAAUGGGGGUCCAGGACCCAGGGGGGGGCAUUCCCCUCGGGAACUACUACGACAUUUUAGAGUUCCAAAGCGAACCUAAAAGGAAAAUGGGGAAAAAGAAUAAAAUCCUAGGAUUUGAGAAAGAAAUCAUGGAGGAUGAGGUAUUCAUGGUGAUGGAAUCCACAACCCGAGAUUGAAAUCUAAGCCGAGUUAGCCCGUUUUUGAUCUCAAAGGUAAUUGAAAAUGCGAUCUCCGGAAAGCCAAUGCUGGUCAGUCGCUUGAAAGACGGGAAGCUACUGAUCAAAGUGGCCAACCAGAAACAAGCAGAGAAGAUUAAAAAAAUAAAAACGAUCCCCGAUCACAGAGGAGAGAUCCAGGUUCAAACGCUAGAACACCCCACCUUAAAUUGUAGCAAAGGAGUGAUUCGAUGCCCCGAUAUCGAAUUCCUUACGGAAGGGGAAAUAUUGGACGGACCUCAAACACAGAAGGCAACAGAGGUGAUUAUCUUAAAAAGAAAGAUAAAUAAUGUGUUAACCAAUACUCGCACAGCAAUCGUCACCUUCAAAACAGGAAGAAUCCCACGUACAGUCGAUUUCGGACUGUAUCCACUGAAAGUGGAACUCUACAUUCCGAGACCCAUGCGGUGCACCACCUGCAUGAGACUCGGCCACACAAAAAAAUCUUGCCAGCGCGAGAAAAUAUGUGCAAACUGCAGUGAAAUGGAACACAAAGAGUCAUGCGUAAGAACAAAAUGCGUGUCAUGUGGAGAUGCCCACAAUACGCUAGACAGGAACUGCCCUGUUUUUUGUGACGAAAUGGAGAUCAGUAAAAUACGCACAGUGAACAAAAUAACAUACGGAGAAGCAAAACGUAUACGUAGACGACAGUGUCCCGAAAUCCCUAAAAUCUACACAUCAGACAUAUCCUAUGCACAAAGAACAAAAUCAGCAACAAAAAGCAGAGCUAACCACGAGACCAAUACAUGGUACAAUGAACUAUGCCGAAGCAAAGGGAAAAAAUUUGCCAGAUACCAAAGCUCAAUAGAAAACAAAAUGUGGCACCAUAGACUAAAAAUCCCAGCAAAGGACAUCAAAACACUAAAUAGAUUAAUAGCGGGCCAUGAUUAUGGUAAUUUCUGGCUACACAAAAUGAAGCUCAUAGACAGAGGAACAUGUGCAAUUUGUAACGUAGAGGACACAGCGAGUCACAGAGUCUUCUAUUGCCACAAAUUCGACAUGGAACGAAAAGACCAGUUAAAAAUAAAUGAACAAAACUUCAUCAAGGCCUGGAAGACGAAAGAUAAAAAGAAAAUGAAAAUGGUGAUAAAAUUUAUAAAAACUAACCGAAUAUCCUUCUGAAACGUCUCGCUUAAACUACAUGACAUAAUAAACCGACGAAGUACUUAACCUAACAACAUAAACUGACAACACACAUAAAACUUCAGAAAACAAAUCACAUAUAGAAAGAGGACAUAUGGCCUUUGAUGCCGUCCAAAAACAACAGAGGUUGUGUUUAACACAAUAGCGGACUAGUACUGAAGGGCCCAGGAAGCUGGAUUUCAGUUCCGAACCGUCAAACGACCUCGACAAACUGAAGAAGAAGAAGAAACCCCGAUGAAUCAACUUUUGAGCUGAUUUUUCUUUCCACCACGAACUUUACAACCACACGAUAUAAACACGGCGCUCCGCGCAGCACAGGAAAACAUCUGGUUUUUGUUGUUGUCAAUCAAAAUACCACACCAC